rnacentral:rRNA from 1 species
GACGAACGCUGGCGGCGUGCCUAAUACAUGCAAGUCGAACGCUUCUUUCCUCCCGAGUGCUUGCACUCAAUUGGAAAGAGGAGUGGCGGACGGGUGAGUAACACGUGGGUAACCUACCCAUCAGAGGGGGAUAACACUUGGAAACAGGUGCUAAUACCGCAUAACAGUUUAUGCCGCAUGGCAUAAGAGUGAAAGGCGCUUUCGGGUGUCGCUGAUGGAUGGACCCGCGGUGCAUUAGCUAGUUGGUGAGGUAACGGCUCACCAAGGCCACGAUGCAUAGCCGACCUGAGAGGGUGAUCGGCCACACUGGGACUGAGACACGGCCCAGACUCCUACGGGAGGCAGCAGUAGGGAAUCUUCGGCAAUGGACGAAAGUCUGACCGAGCAACGCCGCGUGAGUGAAGAAGGUUUUCGGAUCGUAAAACUCUGUUGUUAGAGAAGAACAAGGACGUUAGUAACUGAACGUCCCCUGACGGUAUCUAACCAGAAAGCCACGGCUAACUACGUGCCAGCAGCCGCGGUAAUACGUAGGUGGCAAGCGUUGUCCGGAUUUAUUGGGCGUAAAGCGAGCGCAGGCGGUUUCUUAAGUCUGAUGUGAAAGCCCCCGGCUCAACCGGGGAGGGUCAUUGGAAACUGGGAGACUUGAGUGCAGAAGAGGAGAGUGGAAUUCCAUGUGUAGCGGUGAAAUGCGUAGAUAUAUGGAGGAACACCAGUGGCGAAGGCGGCUCUCUGGUCUGUAACUGACGCUGAGGCUCGAAAGCGUGUGGAGCAAACAGGAUUAGAUACCCUGGUAGUCCACGCCGUAAACGAUGAGUGCUAAGUGUUGGAGGGUUUCCGCCCUUCAGUGCUGCAGCAAACGCAUUAAGCACUCCGCCUGGGGAGUACGACCGCAAGGUUGAAACUCAAAGGAAUUGACGGGGGCCCGCACAAGCGGUGGAGCAUGUGGUUUAAUUCGAAGCAACGCGAAGAACCUUACCAGGUCUUGACAUCCUUUGACCACUCUAGAGAUAGAGCUUUCCCUUCGGGGACAAAGUGACAGGUGGUGCAUGGUUGUCGUCAGCUCGUGUCGUGAGAUGUUGGGUUAAGUCCCGCAACGAGCGCAACCCUUAUUGUUAGUUGCCAUCAUUUAGUUGGGCACUCUAGCGAGACUGCCGGUGACAAACCGGAGGAAGGUGGGGAUGACGUCAAAUCAUCAUGCCCCUUAUGACCUGGGCUACACACGUGCUACAAUGGGAAGUACAACGAGUCGCUAGACCGCGAGGUCAUGCAAAUCUCUUAAAGCUUCUCUCAGUUCGGAUUGCAGGCUGCAACUCGCCUGCAUGAAGCCGGAAUCGCUAGUAAUCGCGGAUCAGCACGCCGCGGUGAAUACGUUCCCGGGCCUUGUACACACCGCCCGUCACACCACGAGAGUUUGUAACACCCGAAGUCGGUGAGGUAACCUUUUUGGAGCCAGCCGCCUAAGGUGGGAUAGAUGAUUGGGGUG